rnacentral:rRNA from 1 species
AGUGAACGCUGGCGGUAGGCCUAACACAUGCAAGUCGAACGGCAGCACAGUAAGAGCUUGCUCUUACGGGUGGCGAGUGGCGGACGGGAGAGGAAUACAUCGGAAUCUACUUUUUCGUGGGGGCUAACGAAGGGAAACUUACGCUAAUACCGCAUACGACCUACGGGUGAAAGCAGGGGAUCUUCGGACCUUGCACGAUUGAAUGAGCCGAUGCCGGAUUAGCUAGUUGGCGGGGUAAAGGCCAACCAAGGCGACGAUCCGUAGCUGGUCUGAGAGGAUGAUCGGCCACACUGGAACUGGGACACGGUCCAGACUCCUACGGGAGGCAGCAGUGGGGAAUAUUGGACAAUGGGCGCAAGCCUGAUCCAGCCAUACCGCGUGGGUGAAGAAGGCGUUCGGGUUGUAAAGCCCUUUUGUUGGGAAAGAAAAGCAGCAGGUUAAUACCCCGCUGUUCUGACGGUACCCACAGAAUAAGCACCGGCUAACUUCGUG